rnacentral:lncRNA from 1 species
AGAAGCAAACCACGUCGCUUCAACUUGAAUCAGAUGACAUGUUUGAAUAUACCCACGGUUAUACACCUCAGAAGCUAUAUCUCUAGUCGACAUGACAACUUCUUGUCUAUUUUUACAUUUAUAAGGAUUUUUCGAAAUAAUGUGCAUUCAGGUGACAUUAGACUUAUAGCACCAUUUCCUGUAUUAGGUAUAAGCUACCGCUCUUGCCAAUUCUUAGCACAAAUCAAAUUGAUGUGUUAUGUAUUCCUAAUGAAAUGAACACGGGGAAUAAAUAUGGAGUCUUUUCCUUCCAAUCUACGUAGUGAGUUGUGAUCUGAAAAGUUGAGCAAUAACACAUUAUUAUAGAUUAUAGUAUUUCAAAGAAUAUACAUUUUUGAACCUAUUUUUAUUAUAGAAUAUAAAUAUUUUACUUGCAAAAAAAGAAUAUAAAUAUUUGAAACUAUUUUGAUUUCUUUUUUUCAUCUCCCAUGGAUGAAUUAAGAAAUAUAUAUAGAUAAUUUACAAAUCCAGUCAUUCUAAUCAUGGAUUCUUGCUAAUGAAGUACAAUAUCUGAGGGAAAGAUGUUCUUCCAAAGUGUACAACACUGUUACAAAUCCAUAUUGAGAGUGAAAUAUUAAAAUUAUAGGUGCAUAAUCUUACAGAUUCAAUUCUGAAAGUCAUUUCGAAUGCCAAAUCUUCAGUAGCAACAACGAUAAUCACUUGUAUACUAAGAAUACAGAUUCAGUCGCAACAACAAUAAUCAUUUGUAUACUGAGAAUACAGAUAUCGGGAGUCAAUGGUUGUUGCUUGUAAGACUAUACAGAUAUAGUAACAUGCUGAAAGAGUAAGCUAUUGGCAACAAAUGUUCAAGGUUCUCAUGCUCGUAGGCUUUCUUAUAGUUUCGGUGUAACGGUAUUAAGUAUCCACACAUCACUGCUAAUUCACUAUCAAUUGUUGGGAUCAAAAUUUAUGAAAUUACUAAUCGUAUAAACAAAAUUUGAUCCAUAAAACUAUAUCACAGCAGCAUGGUACCUGGUAUUUAUCUGUUCUGCUAGGCCUUUAGAAAACCUGAAUCUCCGAACAUUGUUUCUGUCGAUAGAUGUAAUCUAGAACAAAAUACAUUCUGCAAUAAAAAAGAAAGUUAUGUGAGGUGUUAUUAAGUGAUAUUUCACCAGUUGCUCUCAAAUUCCUAUUGCUUCAUAUAGCAUGACUAUACUAAAAGUUGUCAAGGCAUGAAGAUUUAAUUAUGCAUUGAUGCAAUUGUAACAGCAAGAAGAUAGCACAGUACAGAGGAAACAUCAAAUCCAAGAUCUAGCUUGAUUGGUUCAACAAACAUUUGUAUGGGAAAUACACGUAUGAUGCUGUGUAUAGUAAGAACUAUACUUAUGUGUAUUAGAUAGAGUGGCCAGCUAAUAUGGUAGUUAUUUAUUCAAACGCAAAGAAUAUAUUAACAACUUAUUCUCUAUAUUCAACUAUAAUGAUGCCACAUAUUAGAGGCCAAAUGAAGUUCUCACGUAGCACAAUAAGUUCUCUUAUCCAUGCGGCAUCAGUUCAAGAACAUUUUACCUUUAGUGUAAGAUGGAU